AGCAGCCGCGGUAAUUCCAGCUCCAAUAGCGUAUAUUAAAGUUGUUGCAGUUAAAAAGCUCGUAGUUGAAUUUCAGGCCUGGCUGGACGGUCCGCCCUUCGGGUGAGUACUGUCUGUGGUCGGGUCCUACCUUCUGGCGAAGCGUCAUGGCCUUAACCGGCCGUGGCGGGGAACCAGGACUUUUACUGUGAAAAAUUAGAGUGUUCAAAGCAGGCAAUCGCUUGGAUACAUUAGCAUGGAAUAAUGGAAUAGGGCAAUGGUUCUAUUUGUUGGUUUCUAGGACCGUUGUAAUGAUUAAUAGGGAUAGUUGGGGGCAUUAGUAUUCAAUUGUCAGAGGUGAAAUUCUUGGAUUUAUUGAAGACUAACUACUGCGAAAGCAUUUUGCCAAGGAUGUUUUCAUUAAUCAAGAACGAAAGUUAGGGGAUCGAAGACGAUCAGAUACCGUCGUAG
rnacentral:rRNA from 1 species